rnacentral:rRNA from 1 species
AUACGGAGGAUGCAAGCGUUAUCCGGAUUUAUUGGGUUUAAAGGGUGCGUAGGCGGUUUGCUAAGCGGGAGGUGAAAUGCCGGCGCUCAACGUCGGAAGUGCCUCCCGAACUGGUGGACUUGAAUGACUCUGCCGUGGGAGGAAUGGGUAGUGUAGCGGAUAAAUGCUUAGAGAUUACACAGAACACCGAUUGCGAAGGCAUCUCACGAAGGGUUGAUUGACGCUGAGGCACGAAAGCGUGGGGAUCAAACAGGAUUAGAUACCCUGGUAGUCCACGCAGUAAACGAUGAUGGCUAACCGCUGGGCUUAUCAGUUCAGUGGCCAAGCGAAAGCGAUAAGCCAUCCACCUGGGGAGUACGACCGCAAGGUUGAAACUCAAAUGAAUUGGCGGGG